GGCUUCAACCUGUGAAUUUGCGGGACACCAUUCAGCCCAGAGCACUGACUGGUGCUAGUUAUAUUUGUGUGUCUGGCUGUACCCUGUGAUCACCUGGUUGAUGUCAUGUUCCUGAACUUUUGUGAGUGCAAGAGAAGAGAAGGUAUGUGGACUGGCCCCGUCGCCACUCUAUGGAAUAAGCCACACCUCACAGCCGGGAGGAGACGCAGGUCUGUGGCAUGGAUGAGGAGUUCCGGACAUCUCAGCGUAUCUGGGAGGGAAUGUGCCUUUGGGUGGUUAAGUCUGUGACAUCUGCUGAAUCAGAGUAGAACCUGUUGGCUGAGGAAGGCUUGACUUCUGCCAUGCUGCAGGUGGUACUCCAGCUCAAAUACAAACGCUCACAGCCGAUGCCUGUGCUUUCCACGCACCAUGUUUUGUUCUGGGCCUAGUGGAAGUGAGCGAGCCUGAGAGGUGAGAGUUUGACCAUGCAGCUCUGUAGGGAGGGAGGUGUCCUCAUAGUCUCACCUUGCACCGGGUGCUGUGUUCUUCGUGGAGUUUAGUCCUCUUAUGGAGAACUCCUGAUCUCAUUGCCGGAUAAGCACACCAAGGCCUAAAGCAGUUUGAGUAAUUUACUCCAAGCAUCUUAGCCAAGUACCAGGUGUCGACCAUCAGUCUGGGGCCCUGAGAGCUACUGCCAGCCACAGUGCUAUAAACUCUCCCCACCAAAACCGCAAUAAAAAUUUCAGAAGGACGAGUUAACAAUGGCAGAGAGGGGACAGGAUGUCUGGGGUGGGUCUGGCGAGGGUGAAGCAAAAGGCCAGUGGCAAUAAUACAGGUGCAAAGUGAUGAGCUUCGCAGGACAGACGAAGAGGAAAGAACAGUGUUCAAUAGAAGACAUUAAAUCAGAAACUGAUUGGCUGUAAAGGACGGUCAUUGGUGCAUCCUAGUUUAUUUACAGCUAUCUUAAUUUACACCAUUUAGUAUUUUCUGUAAAGAAUCCAUUGCAUAUGCAUUUAAGAUAGAGAAAACGUCGUGCAACUUUGCAUGUGGAUAAAUUCACAAACCUGAAAAAAAGUUGCCAGAUCUUGUAUUCUGCCAUCUAUUUUGGUUUAGUGUAGAUCAGUUAACCUAAGUACUGGAGAAUGCAGACCAGAGAAGCUUUGAGCCUUGAAGGACAGUCAUACCCCCGCCACAGUGAGCGAGUGUGGGGACAGACUGACCUAGGAAGACCCCGCCAGGCCUAGGAGCACAGCCUGUGGUAGACACCCAGCACCAGCAGGUGCAGAGUGACCAAAGCUGACCUUCAGGAUCAGGUCAGCUGGGAGCACAGCUCCAGUGAAGUGAAGCCCAGUGCCUGAGAAAUGGGAGCAGCUGGAAACCAGCAGCAAGUGGGCUGCCUGGACCCUGAGUGAGGUCAGAAGGUCUUGUGUAUUCAGCUGGACAUGACAACUUUGGGCAGCACUGGACACCCAGAUGCUGACUCUAGCCAAUACCCUGCAGAGGCUGGCAGGUACACCUGUCCCUGAGCGCAGGGCAGGCACAUCACUGUACCUCAUGUAUGGAGAAUGUGACUGUCAGGAGGGGAGCUGGUUCUGGGGCAAUUGGUGAGACUAAGCCUGAAACAGAGGAGAUAGCAAACACAGCUCAAAACUUCUCCUGAAACAUCUCACAGGACACAUGGUCUGACAACUCUUUAGGUCUGUGAAUUUAUUAAUGUGCCAAGUUGAAUGAUAUUUUUAGUCACCAUUAAAUGCAUAUGUAAAG
rnacentral:lncRNA from 10 species